CGUUGACAGGUAGCGGGCAUAGUUGAUCCUGUCAUAACAGACGAACCAUGGCAUAAUGGAACGCACACUUGAUAGGUGGAGACUCAAGUUUGCCUCUCGUGUUCCUCUGAUGAAGAGGAGAAGAUCUUCAACCAUUGCAAUGUAUGUGCACCAAAAGUGGAAUGUCUUGUUGGUGGUGUUGUCUUUAAUGAAAUCUUCAUACCCUUUCAUUACCUUUUGAAAGUUCUCAGACAUUACCAGAUCUACAAAUUCUUCACCAGGGAAAGCUGUCUGCAGAUUAACAGCAGUCUUGACAGCAGCUUCACGUCCAUCUUCUGGCAGAAUGUCCAGGUAUGCCUGCCAGCGAAGUCUCUGUAGGGCUUCACACAUUAGCUUGUGUGCACGCAUGCUUCGAUUGUAUUGAUGUCCAGAUAUGACUCCCUCCACAGAUCCUGCAGCAACAACUUCAGCUUCUAUCAUGACAUCCUGAAAUCCUGCGUCUCCAAAUCGCUUCCCAAUACAAGCCAGGCAUCCAGCUGGGAGUAGAUGAGACGCUCUCCUUGGUUGUUCGGGGCCAUCAUCCAAUGCAGAGCGCAGAAUCCGGACCUUGGAGACACACUCAUCAUUGACCGGCAGUGGUUCAGCUACAUCUAUCAGUGGUUGGGCUUCACCUACAUAACAGAACAUACACAGACAGGACAUCAUAUCUCAACAACCACAGAUGACCCAUCUUGAUCUAUCGACACCACCAACAGAACCUGGCCAAGAAAGCCCAAAAACGUCUGCACUUCCUCCCACAUGCUGCUACACUGUUUUUUUUGUUUGUUUUUCUUGAAUUUGCUACACACAUAUUGCACUGCCUUUUGCUACUUGUCCCCUUGUUUAUUUAUAUUAUGUCUAGUAAUGUAAUCCACUUGCAUUGAUAUACUAUAUUAAUACAGUGUACAUGCUGUCUGCAAUGUUAAUAACUUCUCCCCUA